rnacentral:rRNA from 1 species
UACGUAGGGUGCAAGCGUUGUCCGGAAUUAUUGGGCGUAAAGAGCUCGUAGGCGGUUUGUCGCGUCGAAUGUGAAAACCCGGGGCUCAACCCCGGGCCUGCAUUCGAUACGGGGCAGACUAGAGUUCGGUAGGGGAGUCUGGAAUUCCUGGUGUAGCGGUGAAAUGCGCAGAUAUCAGGAGGAACACCGGUGGCGAAGGCGGGACUCUGGGCCGAUACUGACGCUGAGGAGCGAAAGCGUGGGGGAGCGAACAGGAU